rnacentral:rRNA from 1 species
AUCGACAGUCCACGAUAAAUUUAACUUCAUUUUUAAUUUAUAUACCACCAUUUUAAGAAUUAAUCCAAAAAUAUUUCUCCCAAAAAUCAAUAAAAAAUUAGGUCAAGGUGUAAUUUAUACUGAAGAAUAAGAUGAAUUACAUUAAAUACAAUAAAAGGAUUAUAAAUAAAAUAUUUAUAUAAAUAAGAAUUUAAAAGUAAUAUUAAAAUAAUAAUAUAAUAUGAUAUCUACAAUAAGUGUGUACACAUCGCCC